rnacentral:rRNA from 1 species
AGAGUUUGAUCAUGGCUCAGGACGAACGCUGGCGGCGCGCCUAACACAUGCAAGUCGAACGAGAGAGAGGGAGCUUGCUUCCUUGAUCGAGUGGCGAACGGGUGAGUAACGCGUGAGGAACCUGCCUCAAAGAGGGGGACAACAGUUGGAAACGACUGCUAAUACCGCAUAAGCCCACGACCCGGCAUCGGGAAGAGGGAAAAGGAGCAAUCCGCUUUGAGAUGGCCUCGCGUCCGAUUAGCUAGUUGGUGAGGUAACGGCCCACCAAGGCGACGAUCGGUAGCCGGACUGAGAGGUUGAACGGCCACAUUGGGACUGAGACACGGCCCAGACUCCUACGGGAGGCAGCAGUGGGGAAUAUUGCACAAUGGGGGAAACCCUGAUGCAGCGACGCCGCGUGGAGGAAGAAGGUCUUCGGAUUGUAAACUCCUGUUGUUGAGGAAGAUAAUGACGGUACCCAACAAGGAAGUGACGGCUAACUACGUGCCUGCAGCCGCGGUAAAACGUAGGUCACAAGCGUUGUCCGGAAUUACUGGGUGUAAAGGGAGCGCAGGCGGGCGAUCAAGUUGGAAGUGAAAUCCAUGGGCUCAACCCAUGAACUGCUUUCAAAACUGGUCGUCUUGAGUAGUCCAGAGGUAGGCGGAAUUCCCGGUGUAGCGGUGGAAUGCGUAGAUAUCGGGAGGAACACCAGUGGCGAAGGCGGCCUACUGGGCACCAACUGACGCUGAGGCUCGAAAGUGUGGGUAGCAAACAGGAUUAGAUACCCUGGUAGUCCACACCGUAAACGAUGAUUACUAGGUGUUGGGAGAUUGACCCUCUCAGUGCCGCAGUUAACACAAUAAGUAAUCCACCUGGGGAGUACGACCGCAAGGUUGAAACUCAAAGGAAUUGACGGGGGCCCGCACAAGCAGCGGAGCAUGUGGUUUAAUUCGAAGCAACGCGAAGAACCUUACCUAGACUUGACAUCUCCUGCAUUACCCUUAAUCGGGAAAGUUCCUUCGGGGACAGGAAGACAGGUGGUGCAUGGUUGUCGUCAGCUCGUGUCGUGAGAUGUUGGGUUAAGUCCCGCAACGAGCGCAACCCUUAUUGUUAGUUGCUACCAUUUAGUUGAGCACUCUAGCGAGACUGCCCGGGUUAACCGGGAGGAAGGUGGGGAUGACGUCAAAUCAUCAUGCCCCUUAUGUCUAGGGCUACACACGUGCUACAAUGGCAAGUACAAAGAGAUGCAAUACCGCGAGGUGGAGCAAAACUCAAAAACUUGUCUCAGUUCGGAUUGUAGGCUGAAACUCGCCUACAUGAAGCUGGAGUUGCUAGUAAUCGCGAAUCAGCAUGUCGCGGUGAAUACGUUCCCGGGCCUUGUACACACCGCCCGUCACACCAUGAGAGUUGGCAAUACCCAAAGUGCGUGAUCUAACUCGCAAGAGAGGAAGCGCCCUAAGGUAGGGUCAGCGAUUGGGGUGAAGUCGUAACAAGGUA